UCCCACACAAAAUUUCAAGAAGUAUAAAAUAUGUUGGGUUCUUUGGUCAUGAGCUCUUAGACUAUAAGUAAUACACAACAACGGCCGCUGUCGUACAGCACCACUAUCGAUAGUUGAAAAUACUAUCGAAUGGUUGCAUUCCUAUUUAUCUAAAAAGUUCAAUUCAAGGAAUUUGGCGCUUGUGGUACGGGAGAUAUUGGCAGUUUGCUGUAAAAUGGGAAAUUCGGAAGACUUGCAGGCUUAUUAUACGGAGAACAGUCCUGAAGCAGAAAUUUUGUCCAGCGGCGUGUUUUCACGACUCCGAAGCUUGGAAAUAUUUUACGCAUUCGAAAGAAAAAAAUUGCUAGAUGUCGGUCAUGCGACAAAGAAUAUAGACAAGUUCAAUUUUUUUCGACCAUUUAAAACGUCUAUCUCAACAUCAGAUAAAAUCCAAGUUGUUAAAAAUAAUAAAGAAUUUUUUCCCAGAUAUGCAAAAUACGAUAAUAAUACGGACGUAAGAAAAAUGCUGACGAUUGCUGCGGGCAUUCAAACUUUCCGCAUUGCAGAAGCAGAGAAUGUAAAUAAUUGAAUGAGAAGGCGCAAAUGUUAAAUAACUUUUUUCGAGUACUAAAUUGAAGAUUCGUUGUAAAGGAUUUCAGAUAUUUACUUACAACACUAGUAGAUGAUUUCAGAUUUUUACCACUUUUGUAGAGGCAGAGAACGUAACGAAUGUAUAGGGUUAUCUAAUAAGAGGUGUUAUUUUGAUAUUCACAGAAAAAUGCUAUUUUUUAAUAUAAAUGAUCGGAUGUUUAUUUCAUUAUAAAGAGGAAGGUAUGCCAUUAAUAGGGGAAUAUAACAUCAGGCAAAUGACCACCACGACCACGCUUACAGGACAAUAACCUUUUCAUGAAAUUUUCCAUAACCGAAUUGAAAAGUGGCUGCCCUAUGCCCUCGAUAGCCUCACGAAGACCGUCUUUGAGGCCUUGAAUCAACCCUGGGCUGUUGGCGUAGACCUUUUCUUUCACGUGACCUCAGAAAAAAAAGUCACAAGGUGCUAAAUCACAAGAUUUCGGUGGCCAAUUGUGAUCGUUUCUUCGAGAUUUAACUUUUCCCGUAAAAUAUCAAUGGUUUCGUUGCUUGUGUGGCAUGUAGCGCCGUCUUGUUGAAAAUAAACGCUGUCCAGAUCAAUACCAUCCAAUUCCGGCCAUAAAAAAUUGUUAAUAAUCUAAUCUAACCUAAAUAACACCUGUUAUUGGAAAAUCCUUUAUUUACGUUCUCUGGUAGAGGAUUUCAGAGCUUUACUUACCACACUUGUGCAUUAUUGUCUGUAUGUACAAAUGUACGUACAUGCAUAUAUAAUAUAACG